rnacentral:rRNA from 1 species
ACGGCGAGUGAAGCGGCAACAGCUCAAAUUUGAAAUCUGGUCCUUCUGGGCCCGAGUUGUAAUUUGAAGAGGAUGCUUUUGGCGAGGUGCCUUCCGAGUUCCCUGGAACGGGACGCCAUAGAGGGUGAGAGCCCCGUCUGGUUGGAUACCGAGCCUCUGUAAAGCUCCUUCGACGAGUCGAGUAGUUUGGGAAUGCUGCUCAAAAUGGGAGGUAUAUGUCUUCUAAAGCUAAAUAUUGGCCAGAGACCGAUAGCGCACAAGUAGAGUGAUCGAAAGAUGAAAAGCACUUUGAAAAGAGGGUUAAAUAGUACGUGAAAUUGUUGAAAGGGAAGCGCUCAUGACCAGACUUGGGCCCGGUGAAUCAUCCAGCGUUCUCGCUGGUGCACUUUGCCGGCCCAGGCCAGCAUCAGUUCGUCCCGGGGGAAAAAGGCUUCGGGAAUGUGGCUCCUCCGGGAGUGUUAUAGCCCGUUGCAUAAUACCCUGGGUCGGACUGAGGUACGCGCUCCGCAAGGAUGCUGGCGUAAUGGUCAUCAGCGACCCGUCUUGAAACACGGACCAAGGAGUCGUCUUCGUAUGCGAGUGUUCGGGUGUCAAACCCCUACGCGUAAUGAAAGUGAACGUAGGUGAGAGCUUCGGCGCAUCACCGACCGAUCCUGAUGUUCUCGGAUGGAUUUGAGUAAGAGCAUACGGGGCCGGACCCGAAAGAAGGUGAACUAUGCCUGUAUAGGGUGAAGCCAGAGGAAACUCUGGUGGAGGCUCGCAGCGGUUCUGACGUGCAAAUCGAUCGUCAAAUAUGGGCAUGGGGGCGAAAGACUAAU